CGAGGUGCAGUGCGAGGUGUAAUAAGGGCUGUGAGGUAGGAUGGUGCUACUCCAUGUUUGGCUUUGUAGGCCAGCAUCAGUAUUUUGAACCUGAUGCAUGCAGCUACUGGGAGCCAGUGGAGGAAGGUAGCAGAGGGGCGGUGUGGGAGAAUUUGGGAAUUUUGGUAGACCAGCUAGAAGGGAGUUACAGUAAUCUAGUCAUGAGAUUACUGAACCAGUAUUUGGGUGGCCUGUGUUGAUAGAUAAGGGCGGAUCUGUCUGAAAUUGUAGAGAAAAAAAUCUAUAUGAGCAGGAAAGAUUGGUAAUGUGAGUCGAGAAGGAGAGUUGCUUGUCUAUAGUUACUCCAAGGUUGCGUGCAGUAGAAGAAGCAGAAAUAUGAGACUUGUUCAGGUAGAUAGCAAGAGCCUGAUGAGGUGAAGAAUCUGCAGGAAUUAAUAUUAAUUCUCAUCGGCGCCAGUGCUGGGUCUUCUUGCCCUGAUUUUUGUUUUACAUUUGUGAAGCCCACCUAAAACCCACAUGGGGCCACCAUGGUCCCCACCAGCUCAUAUCGCACCCAAAUGGGCCCCACUUGAACGUGUUGGCUGGGAGGGUUACCAGAUCUCCUCUUUUCCUUGAUCAUGUCCAGUCGGCUGUUUGAGGUAAUUAAACAAUUGUCACUUCAUGGGAUUCCUACAAGUAUGUUCAUGAUAGUAAUAAAACAGCGUUAAAGAUAUUCUGGCAGUGUUCACCCCCUGCAGCUACAAUCUUCACUAUAGUGAACAGUCUGGACACACCUCUGGACUCGAGACAAAACAUCUGCAACUUGUUCACAUUUGUUGUUCUAAUGUGAUUUUAUUUGUUCCAGCUCCUCCAAUGCCACAGAACUUGACUGUGUCCUCAGUUUCUGCUACAUCUGCUAAACUCAGCUGGAGUCUCCCUGAUGAGUGAAAAAAGUGGGACAAAUCAGUCCUCAACAGGGGACAACAGUACAGAAAUCACUGGUCUGACACCGUAUACGGAGUACACUGUCAGUGUUCGUACUGUGAACAGACAUGGAGUACAGAGUUCACCUGCUUCUUCACGCUUCUACACAGUUCUACCAGCUCCAGAGAUGUUGACUGUGGUCUCAGUUUCUGCUACAUCUGCUAAGAUCAGCUGGAUUCCACCACAUGGGAUGGAUCAGAUUGCACCCAGUUUCCUGAUCUCUUACUGGAGUAAAGAGAGUAAACCAGAUAAACCAUCUCUACAAAUUCAUAAGUCCAUCUCUACAAAUUCAUCCAGCAGAGAAAUCACAGAUCUGAAACCAGACACUCCGUACACUCUUACUGUCGGUACUGAGGUUAAACACGGAGGGAGGAGUCAACCUGCUACUGUUACCUUCAAUACUGAAAAAAUGAGGUUUUAUACCAAAAAUGUUGGAAAACUUCCAAUCCAGAACACACAGUCUUUAAAGGAACUUCUAACUAGAAAUGAUCUGGUAGAAGUGAACUCUGUGGAGAAGUGUGAUGUUGUCCUGGUUUUCUGUCUUGUUGUGUCUCGUGCUGGAACAGACAUUGAAGCAGCUCUGGUAGAAAUAAAUAAAGAAACCAAACCAGCGAUCCUGGUGGUGAUGCACCACACCUUAAGUAGAGAUGUUUUUCCAGACAGCAGCAGAUUCGUUACAGGAGAGCAAGUUCUGAUCACAGUGGACUGUCUUUUCCAAGAGGAUCAGGGUCUGCUGAGAUGUAAACAGAACGACACGUCGUUCACACAGAUUCAGAACAUCCUGGCACAUCUGGUAAAUAAAUUUACACCCAGCAAGCAAGAUCAUGUCUAGAUGGAGGAAUGAUACCACACUUCCUUGGUGUUUAUAGACGUCAGCGAUGCGUCAUGGUGAAGCUGAGGUCCCAUAAACCAGUGUGGAGAAAACACAUUUGUUCUCCAUCUGUUCUGUAAUAAUAACCUAGAACCUGCUGGUGGUUUUGAAGUAUGUAUCUCAGUUUAAGCUGGAAGACAAGAGGGUCAUACAAGGAAGUGAUUUAUUAACUAAUAUUACAUUUUUCCAUCCAAGAUUUUUUUUCUGUCCAUUGUCACCACCUUUAAUUCAUCUCUGGUGAAGCACUCUGCAUUGGUGUUGGAGAUGAGAAGCAAACAUGUUUGUGUUUGAUUUGAACCUGAAUGUCUGUAUGUUGUGGUGUAAAGUUCAGGGUUAAUCUUUGUGGACAAUGUGUUUGGUCUACAGCAGUAUAUUCUUCUGUUUCUGUCUUCAGUUCUCCUGAAUUUUCCUCUUUGUGAUUAUUAAAGUGUUUGUAUUAACUUUAAUUAUGACUGUGAUCAUUAUGAGAAUUUCUGUACCUGUGAUUCAUGGACCCAGUCAUGGCCAUUGUGUUCGUUUUUUUUAUUUGUAUGACCUUUUCUCUUAUUGAAAUUUAUUUUA
rnacentral:lncRNA from 1 species